UACUUCAAGGGUUGGUGGUGUGCCAGCGCUUAGCCCUCAGGUAUUGGUUGCAGAUGAGAGUGGCUUGGUGGCAAGGUGGCCGGGGAAGGCAGGCUUAGGUGGCAGCACUGUUCUAGAAGACCACGGCAGGACACAGAAGAGGUAAACUAAACUUACAAAGCACAGCCUUGGCCUGGUAGAAGCAGAUACAGUACUUAAAAAGAAGUCACUUGUGACUCGGUCUGUAUGACAAGAAAUACUAUCUGUCAAUCAAACUCAGUGCAGUCAUCAGUCUUCCUAUGCUUCAGAGAGUCCUGCUUUAAAUUAUUUUUAAAUCCACGCCCGAUUUAAAAUGACUUAUCCAAUUCAAGGGAGAAGCUAUAAAGAUGGCUGAAGCUGGAUUAUUGACCCAUCAAAGGCGUUU